CAAAGAAUGGAAACCUCUGACUUUCUGGGGGGGUUCUGUCGUCCGCCUUGGGUUUGUGUGGAGUCACUGGUAGCCUGUCCAGCUGAGACGCUGGAGCGCCGGGCUGCAACGGUGGAGGGAAGCCUGACCGUCGGUGAUGAUGAUGGCCACCUUCCUCACACCUGCCCGUGCCGCCUUGAACACGUUGUUGGCCUGUUGGAUGGCGCUGCCUGUGAACGUCCCCUCGCCCAGGUAGACCAUGGAGCGGACAGCGGAUUUGAUGUCAUCACGGCUGGCCUCCUGACCGAGGCUGACCACCACGAUGUUGAUGUGGCUGUAGAGGACCACGCCGACCCGUGUGGUGUCCUGGCUGACCGAGGCCCGGUCGAUCAGGGCGUUCACAAAGUCUUUGAUCACGUUGAAGUUUUCAGGGCCAACGCUCUCUGAGCUGUCGAUCACAAAGACGAGCUCCAAGGGUGUUUGGCGGCACGUCACUCCACAACCUGAGGAAACAGAGACACAACCGUAUGAAGACAGUUCAUACAUUUACUCAGGAGAAAAGAGAGCCAAAUAUGACUUUAUCAGCAUCAGCUUACUGCAUAUGGAUCUCACUAUUUUGAUGAUUUCAUCCCUCUGUGGAAAGAGUGCAAUAUUUUAGAAGUGGUUCAUCACUGAUUAAAGUUAACCUGAUGUUUGUGUACUAAAUAAUGUCAAAAAGUUCCCAAAAAUUCCAAUAUGACAAUAGCACAACCGCAAAUUUCAAAAAUAUUGACAUAAAACUGAGAAAGGCAGUUAGUUCCAAAAAGUGUUUUUUUAACAACUGGUUUAUCACCAUGUUAGUUUAGUGAGCAUCUGUUUAUACUUACUGUAAGGCCAGGUUCUCCCUUCUGUCCCACCCUGCCCUGUCAUUUGAAGGAGGUCAUUAUUUAUGAAGACAUCAUCAUUCACAGUUACUGUACAGUUUCUUAAAUCAUCAAAACAUUCUGCAGUCAUAUGAAAAAAAGCAACAAAUUCUGGUACCAAAGGUCCGACUGUUCCCGGCUCUCCUGGUUCCCCUCUGUCUCCCCUUUUGCCUUUCUCCCCUCUGAAGCCUCGAUCGCCCUGCAGGAGGGAAGACAAUCAUUUCUUCAGCCUGUAUGACAAAGUGACAACCUGGCCUUGUCCUGGAGGACCUCUGGGGCCGGGGAUCCCCUGAAAUCCAGGCUCCCCCUGGAAACAGUUCAAGUGAAAGAGAAAUUACAAAAGGAUGUAUCUCUUAUCAUGGACACCUUUACCAGGAGCCCCAUCAGGUCCCCUGGGCCCCUGUAACCCAACGUCACCCUGUCAGCAUUUGAAAAGAAGUCAGUACAGGAGAGAGAGGACAGACCAAGUAGUAAGAAACAUUUGAAAUAAAUUUUGAAAGAGAAAACUGGUCCAGGUGAUGCUACCUUUGGUCCCGGGACUCCAUCGUCUCCUGGCUGGCCUGGUAUACCUGGCAACCCCUCAGCCCCAGGGUCACCCUGAGAGAGAAACAUGGAACACAAAGUUGAUUUUAAGAGCAAAACAAGCUGCUUAGACCAAGGGUUAUACUGUCAACUUAAAAAAAAUGAAAAAGCAAACAGUGCAUGUGAGACUUUGUUAAGUUUGUUGAACAAAGCUACAAUAUGUGACAUUUAAAGCUAACUAUACUUCAUUGUGAUAGGUGAGCAGUGCAGCAGGGCAUAAAGGACUUACUUUGGGUCCUGGUUCUCCCAAACCUCUCUCACCUGGCAGUCCAGGCUCACCUGGGAGGCCCUGAUUCCCCUGAAGGUAACAUUCACACAGUCAUUUGGGCAUUCAGAGUGUCUUUAUAAUUGUGGAACUCAUGCAGAAACGGACUAAUAAAAAGGAGCAUGUGCAACAUGAAAUUAAGAACUGGUGCACUCUGUGUUUUUAAAUGAAAGGAAAUGGACAGCUUGCAUUUUGUUAAUGUUUAAAAUAUCUAAUGAAAUAAAAAAUACUUUUACAUAGCCAGAGACGGCAGAUCUCUACAGCCCGAUUGUGACACCCAAAUCUAUAAGCGUAGAUCAAGUCAGAACUCUGCAGUAAUAUUUAUAAAAUGACUCAGAAACUUUAGUUUCACUCCAGUUUUUGCACACCAUUACUCAAGCACAAAUAAAUCAACUAUCUCACAAAUGGGUAAUUUAAAAACUUGUCACAUUUUGGUUUUUGCUUUAGAUUUUGAUUUUCUUUUAAUUAAAAGUGCUUCAACAUUCAAA